UCCAAGUGGUAUACACACUGUUUUUUCUCAAUAUCAAACUCAGCCAGUCCAGGUUGUCAAAUAACAAUCUAUCUGAUAAGCCAAGCAUGUGUUGUACAUCAGAUGUUGGGUAUGUUUGCUGCAAAUCUAUUGGUUAUAAGAUAUAACAGCCUUUUCUAAUUGGCUGAAUUCAAAUACAGAAAGUUUACCUGUUAGAUUGAAACAUGAAACAUGGUGGACAAUGUACUGGUUUAACUUGUUAAAAUAAAGUUAAAGACAUUUAACAAACAGAAGAGUUCAUUAGUUUUUCCAUUAAAAACACUUUCUUAAAAUACUUAUGUAUUUAUAUCAUUUGGAAAGUGACAUGAAAUAUUGCUAAAGAGUGAUGCAUACAGUGUUUGAGCAGUCUGUCUAGGAAUAGAACAACAACUGAAGUUGAUGGAAGAUACUGCAGAGUUUGGCAGGGAAAUAAUCCAACAGCAAAGCGGCUCUUUAAGCGCAUUUACCUAGAGGACUUACAGGGCCACAAAUUCAUGAGCACAUGUGAGCAGUAUACAAUGUACCUCAUACCAAAAAACGACCCGGAGGCAGUGACUGGUGUUCAAUAUUCUCAGAAGAAAAGGAAAAUGGCAGUGGGAGACUUGGACAAACAUUUUUAAAAACUAGCCUCUGUGUUAAGCCUGGCAGUCUGUG